UAAGGGAUACCUAAAAGAUAUGAAUGGAGCCAAUAAUACAAUAUGAAUGCGUCCAAAGAUCCUGCACUCAUCUCUACUGUUGCCUUACCAAAAAUACCCCCCUAGUCGUUGGGUACGAACCCGAUCUGAAAUUCCCUGUCGUUUUUAGCAUUCAACCUCCCCCUUCCGAUCCCCACCCCCAGCAUCUUUCUUCGCUAAUCGCCCCAACGAAGACUAGAAUAUAUAAAAAAGAAAGAAAAAGAAAAAAAAUCACCCGCUCACUAACUUCACCCCCCCUCGCUUGCUUUCAACGCCGCCAAUCUCCUCUCUCCUCAGGCCCUUCCCUAUAUAUAUAUAUAUAUAUAUAUUUAUUGUUUUUACAUAUCUCUCUGUAUACACUAUUCGAACACUCUCUACUGAAUCCAGUUUUUUCCAGAGCCAAAGCGAGAUGGCGGAAGGUAACCUCGAGAAUUGCAAAAAUGGAUCGUCAAAACCAACGGUGACUCCAUAUGAGGAAGCACUGGAUGCUUUAUCUUCGUUGACAGCGAAACGCAGUCGUGCUGAUGAGAGCAACAAAGGAGAUCGUUUUGAUUUGCUUUUCGAUUAUUUAAAAAUUCUGGAAUUAGAGGAGGCAAUAUCAGAGAUGAAGAUCAUACACGUGGCCGGCACUAAAGGAAAGGGAUCCACGUGCACCUUCACGGAAUCUAUCCUACGUAAUUGUGGCUUUCACACUGGACUUUUCACAUCUCCUCAUCUCAUUGAUGUCCGAGAAAGGUUUCGUUUGGAUGGUAUGGACAUUUGUGAAGAGAAAUUCUUGGCAUAUUUCUGGUGGUGCUUUGACAGACUAAAGGAAAAAGCCACAGAAGAUAUACCAAUGCCUACCUAUUUUCGCAUUCUUCCUUUACUUGCCUUCAAGAUAUUUGCAGCGGAGCAGGUAGAUGUAGCUAUUUUGGAAGUUGGGUUAGGUGGAAAGUUUGAUGCAACAAAUGUGGUUCAGAAACCUAUUGUGUGUGGUAUAUCUUCCCUGGGGUAUGACCACAUGGAGAUUCUUGGAAAUACUCUGGCACAAAUUGCUGGGGAGAAGGCUGGUAUUUUUAAGGUGUUCUUCAGGACUAUUUCCAUUAGACUCUUGGCAAUGCAUUUGUUUCUCAACCUCAACACAAUACGUGUUUUGAUCAGUGAUUUUCUUCGUAUUCAAGUUUUUCCUUUUCCAAUACAGGAUGGAAUUCCAGCCUUCACAGUACCUCAACCUGAUGAAGCAAUGAAUGUGCUUGUAGAGAAGGCUUCUACGUUAAAUGUAACCCUUAAAGUGGCAGAGUCAUUAGAUGCCAAAUUGCUGAAUGGUUUAAAACUCGGUCUUGAAGGUGAGCACCAGUAUUUAAAUGCUGGUCUUGCUAUUGCACUAUCUUCUACUUGGCUUCAAAGGACCGGGCAUCAUGAACUCACUUACCUGGAACAGGCUAGCCCACUUCCUGAGCAAUUUAUUAAGGGGCUUACAACAGCCAGUUUGCAAGGGCGGGCUCAAAAAGUCCCUGAUCAUUAUAUUAAUGCUGAGAGAUAUGGAGAUCUUGUGUUUUAUUUGGAUGGAGCCCAUAGUCCUGAAAGCAUGGAGAUGUGUGCAAGAUGGUUUUCUCUUGCCAUUAAAGAAGACAGCCAGAAAAAGGCCUUUAAUCACCCCCCACUGAACAAUUCUGGAUCCACAAUUGAAUUGGCACAGGGGAACCCCCAAGAGAGAGAUGGAAAGAUUUCCAUGCAGAUAUUGGUGUUCAAUUGUAUGUCAGUGCGGGAUCCUCAGCUGCUUCUCCCUCGUCUGAUGAAAGCAUGUGCUAAUCAUGGUGUCUACUUCAAGAAGGCGCUCUUUGUUCCAAAUACAUCCGUGUAUAACAAGGUUGGAUCUGAUGCAUUACCAACUGAUUCUCAAGUUGAUUUAUCGUGGCAGUUGGCUCUUCAAAGAGUAUGGGAGAAUCUCAUACAGAGUGAUAAAGGAGGGGAGGCCAAGCAUGCGGAUGCUGUUUGUGAAGAAGGUAAAGAUGAUACCAAAAUGGGUGGUAGCACUUGUGAAAAUAGCACAGUCUUUCCUUCCCUCCCAUUAGCUAUUAAAUGGCUUAGGGAAAGUGUCCAACAGAAUCAAUCUGUUCGCUAUCAGGUCCUUGUAACCGGUUCAUUACAUCUCGUGGGUGAUGUGUUGAGGCUAGUCAAAAUGUGAGGCACAAGACCAAGUUGAGGGCCUCUAGUUGCAAUAACUUGUGCUUAAGAAGUGCUGGCAUUGACACUGGACUAACAAGUUACCAAAUGCGAGGUAUGCUUUCUGCGUGUGCCGAAGCCUUAUUGUCAUUUUUAUAGCUCCUCAAAUAACAGCGAGGACCUUCAAUUUAGCCAUCCCUCUCCCCCCGAAGCCAGGUGACUUUCUUUGGUAUGCUUUGAUAGUGUGAAUAAAAAGGAUGCCGAAGAUAAGAACCUGUCAUUUCCUUAAGAAAGCAAAUGUUGGUAACGUAAUACAUGCUUGAAAUAGUAGUCCACGAAAGGGAAAAACAAUGGAGAAGCCAAAAAGGUCCUUUCAAAGAUAAUUUUCACUACUGCUUCUCACUCGUAGCUGCUGAAUAGAAAUGGCUGAGGCUGUUGCCUCUGCUGUCAAUGAAAGCACUGCAGAUUUACUCGCUCGAAGCAUAUGAAGUGUUUCUUAAAAGAUACAAGAUGAGCUAGUUGCAACUGGAUAGCUAAAAUAAAGGAUGUUGCUUAUGAUGCUGAGGAUGUUAUACACAUGUUCGUUCUUCAAGCUUCGAGUCAUCGAGUGUUGAUUUUUCAACAGCUUCACCUCCAUGAUCAUCAAAUCUCUUUACCUCCAUAAAAUUAGGAACCUGAUCGAAUAUGUUCAAACUCAGAUUUGUUAACGUACAGGUUUACCUCCAUGAGCACCUGGCUAGUUUGCAGACUUGUGGUUGAGAAGAUCAUUUUCACAUGACGAAUAAGAGCAUAUUAUAAACUUGGAGAAUGACAAGGGGUCUGAUAGCUUGUCGAUGAGAGUGGAGGAUUGACUUCAACUUGUUUCUAUAGCAGGCAUCGGAGGACUUAGUAUAAGUGCAACGAGCUCCCAUCAAGAAAACUAAAAUCAUAUUGUAGUAAAAGUUUAAAAAUCGAAGUGUUAAUGCAUGCUUUAACUCCGCAUUAGAUUGAUGCAUUUUUUUUCGUGUUUAACGAAUGAGUUUGUGGAUAAGAUAGAUAAAAGAAAACGGGUCAUAAUUUUUUAUUUAGAUAUUCGAUUAAUGUA